AGAACGAACGCUGGCGGCGUGCCUAACACAUGCAAGUCGAGCGCGAAUGGAGCAAUCCUAGUAGAGCGGCGCACGGGUGCGUAACACGUGGGUAAUCUGCCCAAAAGACUGGAAUAACCUGCCGAAAGGCUGGCUAAUACCAGAUAAGCCUACGGGGUCCUCGGACCUUGUAGGAAAAGGUGGCCUCUGUAUACAAGCUAUCACUUUUGGAUGAGCCCGCGGCCCAUCAGUUAGUUGGCGGGGUAACGCCCACCAAGACUACGACGGGUAGCUGGUCUGAGAGGACGAUCAGCCACACUGGAACUGAGACACGGUCCAGACUCCGUACGGGAGCAGACGAGGUGGGUAAUUUUUGGCGCAAGUGGGACGAAAGCCUGACGCAGCAACGCCGCGUGUGUGAGUAGUAAGGUUUUCGGAUACGUAAAG
rnacentral:rRNA from 1 species